rnacentral:rRNA from 1 species
CCCUUAGAUGUUCUGGGCCGCACGCGCGCUACACUGACGAAUGCAACGAGCUUAUAACCUUGGCCGAAAGGUCUGGGUAAUCUCCAAAUUUCGUCGUGAUGGGGAUAGAUUAUUGCAAUUAUUAAUCUUCAACGAGGAAUGCCUAGUAAGCGCAAGUCAUCAGCUUGCGUUGAUUACGUCCCUGCCCUUUGUACACACCGCCCGUCGCUCCUACCGAUUGAAUGGUCCGGUGAAGCGUUCGGACCGUGGCCUUUGGACGGUUCGCCGUCUGUUGGCUGCGGGAAGUUCAUUAAACCUUAUCAUUUAGAGGAAGGAGAAGUCGUAACA